rnacentral:misc_RNA from 1 species
GCAAACUUGGUCAUUUAGAGGAAGUAAAAGUCGUAACAAGGUUUCCGUAGGUGAACCUGCGGAAGGAUCAUUAACAGUUCCGGCCAAGACCCCCUGCGGGCUAGGCUACUGAACUUACACCCUGGCCCGGAAAACACCAUCUCCUUACCGCUUCGGCCUGGAUGGGGAGAUGUGUAUCCGGGUUUCAUGUGUUCACUCUUCACCCUUUGAGAAACUUUAUACCUUUGCUUCGGCAGCACCGUGCGCGGGCAACCGCCGUCGGGUAAGGCUGUCAGAAGCCCAUACCAAAACAUGUUGAUGAAAUGUCAUGCUGUCUGAUACAUUACUAUUUUUGAGAAAUCAAAACAUAUUAAAACUUUCAGCAACGGAUCUCUUGGUUCCCGCAUCGAUGAAGAACGCAGC